CACCAAACAUCAACUGAGAUCCAAGUCAAAUCCAGUUCCACACUGUGAGGAGGAGUCAAUGCAAAACUCAGAUGUCUUCCACCUCUACUUAUCUGACUGCAGAGAGGAUGACAGAGAACAGUGGACACACAGUUUAACAUGAUGGACUAUAGGACAGGACUGCUGCUGUUAACUAUCUGCUGGGCAGGUGUUGAUGGUCAGACUCUGACAGAAUCUGAACCAGUGGUUAAAAGGCCUGGAGAAUCUCACAGAUUGACCUGUACAGCCUCUGGAUUCACAUUCAGCAGCUAUCAUAUGAACUGGGUCAGACAGGCUCCUGGAAAAGGACUGGAGUGGAUCGCUGCUGCUGAUACUGGCAGUGGCACUUACUACUCUCAGUCAGUUCAAGGCCGGUUUACCAUCUCCAGAGACAACAGCAGACAGCAGCUGUAUCUGCAGAUGAACAGUCUGAAGACUGAAGAUUCUGCUGUUUAUUAUUGUGCUCGAGAGCCACAGUGACUGGAGUUGGUUGAGCAGCUGUACA